rnacentral:rRNA from 1 species
GACGAACGCUGGCGGCGUGCUUAACACAUGCAAGUCGAACGGAAAGGCCCUGCUUUUGUGGGGUGCUCGAGUGGCGAACGGGUGAGUAACACGUGAGUAACCUGCCCUUGACUUUGGGAUAACUUCAGGAAACUGGGGCUAAUACCGGAUAGGAGCUCCUGCUGCAUGGUGGGGGUUGGAAAGUUUCGGCGGUUGGGGAUGGACUCGCGGCUUAUCAGCUUGUUGGUGGGGUAGUGGCUUACCAAGGCUUUGACGGGUAGCCGGCCUGGGAGGGUGACCGGCCACAUUGGGACUGAGAUACGGCCCAGACUCCUACGGGAGGCAGCAGUGGGGAAUAUUGCACAAUGGGCGGAAGCCUGAUGCAGCAACGCCGCGUGUGGGAUGACGGCCUUCGGGUUGUAAACCGCUUUCGCCUGUGACGAAGCGUGAGUGACGGUAAUGGGUAAAGAAGCACCGGCUAACUACGUG